rnacentral:rRNA from 1 species
GACGAACGCUGGCGGCGCGCUUAACACAUGCAAGUCGAGCGAAGCGGCGGACGGGUGAGUAACACGUGAGUAACCUGCCUUAGACAUUGGGAUAGCCUCAGGAAACCGGGAUUAAUACCAAAUGGUCUAAGAUGGACUCGCGUCCCAUUCGUUAGUUGGUGAGGUAACGGCCCACCAAGGCGACGAUGGGUAGCCGGCCUGAGAGGGGUAUCGGCCACAUUGGAACUGAUAAACGGUCCAAACUCUACGGGAGGCAGCAGUGGGGAAUAUUGCACAAUGGAGGGAACUCUGAUGCAGAGAAGGCGCGUGAACGAAGAAGGCUUUCGAGUCGUAAAGUUCGUUUAUAUGGGAAGCGGUACCAUAAGAAAAAGCCCCGGCUAACUACGUGCCAGCAGCCGCGGUAAUAC